rnacentral:rRNA from 1 species
UAGGGAAUAUUGCGCAAUGGGCGAAAGCCUGACGCAGCCAUGCCGCGUGGAUGAUGAAGGCCUUCGGGUCGUAAAGUCCUUUUCUGAGGGAAGAACAAGUGGAGUAGGAAAUGACUCCGCCCUGACGGUACCUCAGGAAUAAGGAACGGCAAACUCCGUGCCAGCAGCCGCGGUAAUACGGAGGUUCCAAGCGUUGUUCGGAUUUACUGGGCGUAAAGGGAGCGCAGGCGGCUUGGUCAGUCUGAAGUGGAAGACCGGGGCUCAACCCCGGAAGGCCUUUGGAUACUGCCGGGCUUGAGUUCGUGAGAGGAAAGCGGAAUUCCAGGUGUAGCGGUGAAAUGCGUAGAUAUCUGGAGGAACAUCUGUGGCGAAAGCGGCUUUCUGGCACGAUACUGACGCUGAGGCUCGAAAGCGUGGGGAGCGAACAGGAUUAGAUACCCCCGUAGUCC